rnacentral:tRNA from 1 species
GGGGUUGUGGCUCAGCGGUAGAGCACUUGCCUCCUUGCCUCGCACGUGUGAGGCACUGGGUUCGAUCCUCAGCACCACA